AUAAACAAAUUCAAUAUUUACCUAUAACUGAAUCAAGAGUAAUGCAAUUGUUAUCACGAGCACGAAGAUAAUCUUAUGAAAUAUUUAUAUAAAAGCACUUUCAAUACAUUAUGCAAAUAAUCAAUGUUGUUACAUUCAUGUAUUGAGUGAUUAUGUGCCACGCACAAACUUUUAUGCAAAAAAUAGUUCUCGGAGCGAUGCCCCGCAGCCUUGAUAUGGAAUUAAUGCUGUAUUUCAGCGCAACUUUUGGCAAUGACGAUAUUGCGGCUUGUUUCGGCACUUGUCACUUUACUUUAAGUGCUAGCUGCAUUUGCAUAUUCAUAAACACGAUUUUGAGCCGAUAACAAUUUGUUAUAUUUAGUUGCAGUACUGCUCGUGCUGUUAAUAUCAACAAACGCCUUCAAAAUGCGUUUGUAUGCAGCAAUACUUCUAUUGAUGUUUUCAUGCUGUUGGCUGCAUGCAACAGCAAAUAAAACCACAGCACCUGCAGGAGUAUCCAUAAAUAUUACUGCAACACCUCUGAAUGAUACAAAAACCACUCCAGGGUGCUUUUGUUCCGGCUGGAGAGUCGCCAGGCCUGAUGAUACUGACUCCAACAAAAUAAAAUGCUUUGACACCCAAGAUAUGUUCUUCUAUCCAUGUGAAGCCAGUUCAGAUCCAAGUGCCGGCUCCGGAGGCAGCUGGUGGUGGUGGUGGGGCUAAAACAAUUCAGAAUUAAUCAAAAUAAUUCAAUUUUAAACACUUUCAUGGUAAUAAAUAUAAUUUUGUACAAAAACCGAUGAUUUUUGGUACUGGAUCAUAACGCACACUAUACACACAAUAGACCUUUAACUAAUAAACAGUUAUAUUAAUAAAAA